AGCAGACGGUGAAUCAGGAUGAACAUCAGCAGCAAGUGUACUCCUCUCUUCUUCAUGGUGAUCGUUGUGUCUAUGAGACAAUCAGAGGCUCUGAAAACACUGAAAAUGGACAACGUGGUGACCCAGAGGAGAGCUCUGACUACUAUAAUGUGAAUCCAAAUUCAGCCACAGCUCUAAAAUCUUAACAGCAGCUCUUUAGCUGUUUUUAUCUUUUUCUCUUUAAAGGAACUUAAAAACUUGACGUCACUUUGAGUGAAAAGGAGCAGAUUUUUCAUUCAAAGCAAUGAUCCUGAUAGCCUGAGUUUAUAUUUCCUUCAGAAAGAACCCCUCAGUGUGUUUCACUCGUUUAUCUUCCUUUAAUCAGGGGUGUCCAAACUACGGCUCAUGGGCCAAACAUGGCCUAUGCUCAGAUUUUUUU